AACGUAGGAGGCAAGCGUUAUCCGAAUUUACUGGGCGUAAAGCGUGUGCAGGCGGCCUGGCAAGUUGGAUGUGAAAUCUCCCGGCUCAACUGGGAGGGGUCGUUCAAAACUGCUGGGCUCGAGGGCAGGAGAGGGAGGUGGAAUUCCCGGUGUAGUGGUGAAAUGCGUAGAUAUCGGGAGGAACACCUGUGGCGAAAGCGGCCUCCUGGACUGUACCUGACGCUCAGACACGAAAGCUAGGGGAG
rnacentral:rRNA from 1 species